rnacentral:rRNA from 1 species
AUUGAACGCUGGCGGCAUGCCUUACACAUGCAAGUCGAACGGUAACAGGUCUUCGGAUGCUGACGAGUGGCGAACGGGUGAGUAAUACAUCGGAACGUGCCCGAUCGUGGGGGAUAACGAAGCGAAAGCUUUGCUAAUACCGCAUACGAUCUACGGAUGAAAGCGGGGGAUCUUCGGACCUCGCGCGGACGGAGCGGCCGAUGGCAGAUUAGGUAGUUGGUGGGAUAAAAGCUUACCAAGCCGACGAUCUGUAGCUGGUCUGAGAGGAUGAUCAGCCACACUGGGACUGAGACACGGCCCAGACUCCUACGGGAGGCAGCAGUGGGGAAUUUUGGACAAUGGGCGCAAGCCUGAUCCGGCCAUGCCGCGUGCAGGAUGAAGGCCUUCGGGUUGUAAACUGCUUUUGUACGGAACGAAAAGGUGCCUUCUAAUAAAGGGCACUCAUGACGGUACCGUAAGAAUAAGCACCGGCUAACUACGUG